UUCCGGUUGAUCCCGCCGGAGSCAUUGCUAUCGGAGUCCGAUUUAGCCAUGCUAGUCGUACGAGUUCAUACUCGUGGCGGAAAGCUCAGUAACACGUGGCCAAACUACCCUGUGGACAGGGAUACUCUCGGGAAACUGAGGCUAAUCCCUGAUACAACUUCCAUGCUGGAAUGCAGGAAGUUGGAAAUGCUCCGGCGCCACAGGAUGUGGCUGCGGCCGAUUAGGUAGACGGUGGGGUAACGGCCCACCGUGCCAGUAAUCGGUACGGGUGAUGAGAGUCAGAGCCCGGAGACGGUAUCUGAGACAAGAUACCGGGCCCUACGGGGCGCAGAGGGCGCGAACACCUUUACACUGCACGACAGCGAAUAGGGGGACUCCGAGUGCGAGGGCAUACAGUCCUCGCUUUUCUGUACCGUAAGUGGUACAGGAACAAGUGCUGGGCAAGACCGGUGCCAGCCGCCGCGGUAAUACCGGCAGCACAAGUGAUGGCCGAUAUUAUUGGGCCUAAAGCGUUCGUAGCCGGCCGGACAAGUCCGUUGGGAAAUCCACGCGCUCAACGCGUGGGCGUCCAGCGGAAACUGUCCGGCUUGGGGCCGGAAGACUCGAGGGGUACGUCCGGGGUAGGAGUGAAAUCCCGUAAUCCUGGACGGACCACCGGUGGCGAAGSGUCUCGAGAGGACGGACCCGACGGUGAGGAACGAAAGCCAGGGUCUCGAACCCGGAUUAGAUACCCGGGUAG
rnacentral:rRNA from 1 species